rnacentral:rRNA from 1 species
GACGAACGCUGGCGGCGUGCCUAACACAUGCAAGUCGAACGAAGUGGCGGACGGGUGAGUAACGCGUAAACAACCUGCCCUUCAGAGGGGGACAACAGUUGGAAACGACUGCUAAUACCGCAUACUGAAGGAGGGGCUUGCGUCUGCUUGGCUAGUUGGAGGGGUAACGGCCCCCGAAGGCGAAGAUCAGUAGACCGUCUGGGAGGAGGAAUGGCCAAAUUGGAAAUUGGGACAGGGCCAGACUCCUACGGUGAGCAACAGGGGGGAAUCUGCCGAAAAGGAAGAAAGGCUGGCGGAGCCACGGCGGGUGAGGGAUGACAGCCUUUGGGUUCUAAAACUCUGUUAAUCGGGAAACGGUACCUGAACAGAAAGCCACGGCUAACUACGUGCCAGCAGCCGCGGUAAUUC